rnacentral:rRNA from 1 species
UACAGAGGGUGCGAGCGUUAAUCGGAAUUACUGGGCGUAAAGCGCGCGUAGGCGGUUUUGUAAGUCGGGUGUGAAAUCCCCAAGCUUAACUUGGGAACUGCAUUCGAGACUGCACAGCUAGAGUAUGGGAGAGGGAAGUGGAAUUUCAGGUGUAACGGUGAAAUGCGUAGAUAUCUGAAGGAACAUCAGUGACGAAAGCGACUUCCUGGACCAAUACUGACGCUCAUGUGCGAAAGCGUGGGGAGCAAACAGG